CCUACGGGAGGCAGCAGUGAGGAAUAUUGGUCAAUGGACGAGAGUCUGAACCAGCCAAGUAGCGUGAAGGAUGACUGCCCUAUGGGUUGUAAACUUCUUUUAUAUGGGAAUAAAAUGUUCCACGUGUGGGAUUUUGUAUGUACCAUAUGAAUAAGGAUCGGCUAACUCCGUGCCAGCAGCCGCGGUAAUACGGAGGAUCCGAGCGUUAUCCGGAUUUAUUGGGUUUAAAGGGAGCGUAGGUGGAUUGUUAAGUCAGUUGUGAAAGUUUGCGGCUCAACCGUAAAAUUGCAGUUGAAACUGGCAGUCUUGAGUACAGUAGAGGUGGGCGGAAUUCGUGGUGUAGCGGUGAAAUGCGUAGAGAUCACGAAGAACUCCGAUUGCGAAGGCAGUUCACUGGACUGCAACUGACACUGAGGCUCGAAAGUGUGGGUAUCAAACAGGAUUAGAUACCCGUGUAGUC
rnacentral:rRNA from 1 species